rnacentral:rRNA from 1 species
UGCGAGUCAUUGUAGUAAUACAAGGCAGACGGCUCAGUAACGCGUAGUCCACCUAACCUAUGGACGGGAAUAACCUCGGGAAACUGAGUAUAAUGCCCGAUAGAACAUUAUACCUGGAAUGGUUUAUGUUCCAAAUGAUUUAUCGCCGUAGGAUGGGACUGCGGCCUAUCAGUUUGUUGGUGAGGUAAUGGCCCACCAAGACUAUUACAGGUACGGGCUCUGAGAGGAGUAGCCCGGAGAUGGGUACUGAGACACGGACCCAGGCCCUAUGGGGCGCAGCAGGCGAGAAAACUUUGCAAUGUGCGAAAGCACGACAAGGUUAAUCCGAGUGGUUUCUGCUAAAGGAACCUUUUGUCGGUCCUAGAAACACCGAUGAAUAAGGGGUGGGCAAGUUCUGGUGUCAGCCGCCGCGGUAAAACCAGCACCUCAAGUGGUCAGGAUGAUUAUUGGGCCUAAAGCAUCCGUAGCCGGCUCUGUAAGUUUUCGGUUAAAUCUGUACGCUUAACGUACAGGCUGCCGGGAAUACUGCAGAGCUAGGGAGUGGGAGAGGUAGACGGUACUCGGUAGGAAGGGGUAAAAUCCUUUGAUCUAUUGAUGACCACCUGUGGCGAAGGCGGUCUACCAGAACACGUCCCGACGGUGAGGGAUGAAAGCUGGGGGAGCAAACCGGAUUAGAUACCCGGGUAGUCCCAGCUGUAAACUAUGCAAACUCAGUGAUGCAUUGGCUUGUGGCCAAUGCAGUGCUGCAGGGAAGCCGUUAAGUUUGCCGCCUGGGAAGUACGUACGCAAGUAUGAAACUCAAAUGAAUUGACGGA